UUUUGAAAAUUGUGGUCUUAGAUCAUGAAUUGUAUUUUCAAAAUGCAUUGCUAACACAACUGCACAUGUUUGUUUAUUGGAAAGAACAUCACAAAGGGUGACAAUCCCAUGUGUCAUGUGUAUGUUUUGUGUACAGUGUGCAUUAUAUGAAUCACAUUCAUUGACAAUUGAAUGCAAAUAGAAUGGUAAAUUUCAUUUAAUCAUAAAUAUGUUGUUGACAACUUAUAGCAAACAAAUACCAUGAGGGAAAUGUGAAAAGGAUUUUGAAAAGAAAAUUAAAAGAGCUUGCAAUUGCUGAACUGAUAAGCAAACAAAACAUACGUGUGUAUGCAAGAUUGUUGUAAUGCUUAGCAUCUUUUGCAAGGCUAUUGCAAUGAUUUUUUGUAUAGUGAUGCUACCUUUUUUUAGAAUUUGGAAUGUCUUUUUUUGAGUGCGAAUGGAAUUUUGUUUGUUAGCAAAGGAAUGCACUUUUAGAUUCAUUGUUUGAUUUGAUUUAAAAAUGUUUGUGACACAUGUCUUUGUGUUAGUUUCUUGAUUCAACCAAGGACAUUGUGUUUGAUCCAUGUCAGCAAUACAUGUUUUGUUUGACCCGUCUUGAAACACGGACCAAGGAGUUUAAUUUAUGUGCAAGAUCAUGAAACUGACAUUUGUAUAUCAAUGAAAAUAUUUUGUUGGGAUUUGUGCACCAACAACUGAUAAGUUGUGUGACGCGACGUUGAGUUUGAGCAUGUUGAUUAAAACCCGAA
rnacentral:rRNA from 1 species